rnacentral:misc_RNA from 1 species
ACACCUCAACUCUCAUGGUCCGCCAUGAUGAGCUUGGACUAUGGGGGUCUUGCCGGCCUAGCGUCGGCUCCUCUCAAAUGGAUCAGCUUCCCAGUGUUUGGUGGCGUCACAGGUGUGAUAACUAUCUACGCUUGUGGUAUUCCGCCAUUAACCUUCAGCAAUGGAGGUUCGCUGGAGCUCACAGACGUCUUUCCUUGGGGAGGACAGCUUCUUGAAU